rnacentral:RNase_P_RNA from 1 species
ACAGAAGGCCGGACGGUCGCGUGGCCCAUGGGCCGCGAGGAAAGUCCGGGCUCCACAAGGCAACGGUGCCGGGUAACGCCCGGGCGGGGUGACCCGACGGAAAGCGCCACAGAAAUGAAACCGCCUCGCAGGUCGGGGUAAGGAUGAAACGGUGGGGUAAGAGCCCACCGCGCCCCUGGCAACAGGGGCGGCACGGCAAGCCCCACCUGGAGCAAUGCCAAAUAGGGUCCCCGCGCGGGCAGGUCAGGCAACUGAUACCGCCGCUAGGUACGCUUUGACCGAGAGGGACCGGGUUGGCAGCUAGAAGCGUCUGGCAACAGGCGCUGCAGAUGAAUGACCGUCCAGGGGGCAACCCCGGACAGAACCCGGCUUACAGGCCUUCUGUGCAA